AUUGAACGCUGGCGGCAGGCCUAACACAUGCAAGUCGAGCGGAGCGGCGGACGGGUGAGUAAUGUAUGGGAAUCUGCCCGAUGGAGGGGGAUAACGUCAGGAAACGGGAGCUAAUACCGCAUACUAUCAGAUGAACCUAGGUUGGAUUAGCUAGUUGGUGGGGUAAUGGCCUACCAAGGCGACGAUCCGUAGCUGGUCUGAGAGGAUGAUCAGCCACACUGGAACUGAGACACGGUCCAGACUCCGACGGGAGGCAGCAGUGGGGAAUAUUGCACAAUGGGCGAAAGCCUGAUCCAGCCAUGCCGCGUGUGUGAAGAAGGUCUUAGGAUUGUAAAGCACUUUAAGUCGGGAGGCGUUACCAACAGAAGAAGCACCGGCUAACUCCGUGCCAGCAGCCGCGGUAAUUC
rnacentral:rRNA from 1 species